ACAAAGGGCCUUAUUUAGGUUGCGCAGGCGCCCGCUGGCCAUUUCAUCUUAGCCACGCAGAAGUCGCUUGUCUAGGUGAGUCGCGGUGGGUCCCCGCUUGCAGUUCAGCUACCACGUUUGUUUCGACGCCGGACCGCGUAAGAGACGAUGAUGUUGGGCACCGAAGGUGGAGAGGGAUUCGUGGUGAAGGUCCGGGGCUUGCCCUGGUCUUGCUCGGCCGAUGAAGUGCAGAGGUUUUUUUCUGACUGCAAAAUUCAAAAUGGGGCUCAAGGUAUUCGUUUCAUCUACACCAGAGAAGGCAGACCAAGUGGCGAGGCUUUUGUUGAACUUGAAUCAGAAGAUGAAGUCAAAUUGGCCCUGAAAAAAGACAGAGAAACUAUGGGACACAGAUAUGUUGAAGUAUUCAAGUCAAACAACGUUGAAAUGGAUUGGGUGUUGAAGCAUACUGGUCCAAAUAGUCCUGACACGGCCAAUGAUGGCUUUGUACGGCUUAGAGGACUUCCCUUUGGAUGUAGCAAGGAAGAAAUUGUUCAGUUCUUCUCAGGUAUGUAGUCAUGUUUGUUGCUGAGCAGUGAGUUUUGGUUAGCUUAUGGCAAGGUGAUUUAAUAGACCUUAAAGUUGAGUAGCUUAGGUAUUUUAAUAGGUUGUAAAUUGCCAAUGAAUUAAUGUUUUCUUUCUAGAGACCUUCAAAUAAUUUAAGCCCAUCUUAAAGGUGGAAAUGAAGUACUUCCAAAAUGUUAACUUUGCCUAUAUUUAGUAUU
rnacentral:sRNA from 1 species